rnacentral:rRNA from 1 species
AUUGAACGCUGGCGGCAGGCCUAACACAUGCAAGUCGAACGGUAACAGAAAGCAGCUUGCUGCCUUGCUGACGAGUGGCGGACGGGUGAGUAAUGUCUGGGAAACUGCCUGAUGGAGGGGGAUAACUACUGGAAACGGUAGCUAAUACCGCAUAACGUCGCAAGACCAAAGAGGGGGACCUUCGGGCCUCUUGCCAUCGGAUGUGCCCAGAUGGGAUUAGCUAGUAGGUGGGGUAACGGCUCACCUAGGCGACGAUCCCUAGCUGGUCUGAGAGGAUGACCAGCCACACUGGAACUGAGACACGGUCCAGACUCCUACGGGAGGCAGCAGUGGGGAAUAUUGCACAAAGGGCGCAAGCCUGAUGCAGCCAUGCCGCGUGUAUGAAGAAGGCCUUCGGGUUGUAAAGUACUUUCAGCGGGGAGGAAGGGAGUAAAGUUAAUACCUUUGCUCAUUGACGUUACCCGCAGAAGAAGCACCGGCUAACUCCGUG